UGCCACAGGUGCCUCAGGCCUGGGAGUCUGUGAGAGGUGGCCACCAGUCUCGGCCCGGAAGAAGGCUUGCUGCUUCCCAUAUCAGAAGGGGGAUCAGGUGUGAAAACGGUGGAUCUGAUGAAAUCCCAGUCCGGGAUCUGUCAGCGCGGGUGGAGUGGCCCAAGACCACCUUAGAUGUUGGUGUCAUUUGAAGAGCUGGCUGUGUACUUCACUCAGAGGAAUGGCAGGAACUGGACCAUGCUCAAAGGAUCCUGCACAGGGAUAUUAUGUUGGAGACCUACAGCAGCCUGCUGUCCUUGAGAUAUUGCAGUACCAAACCUGAGGUGAUCGUCAAGUUGGAGCAAGGAGAGGAGCCAUAGAUGGUGGGAAACCAAAGCUUCCUAGGUCAGUCAGUAAACACUGGACAAGGAGGCUGGGACAGAAAGCACUCAGCACAUGUCGACCGUGUAGAGCUUUUAUGAAUUUUUCCCAAGUCUCUGCCCUAAGAACAGCUGGUGUCAUUUAUCAGACAUAGGCAUUCCAUUGUCUAAGGAAGGCUUUCAUGUGUAUAUUUAUCUGCUGCUUUUCGGUAUUUGGUGAAUAUUGUCUUAGAUUUGCCAAAAAUGCAAUCACUUUCAGGGUCUAAUAAGGCUAUUUUCUAGGAUAGAUACAUCCUCUAAAUUCUAACUCAUCCUCUCUACUUUCAUAUUUUGGUUUUAUUCAGAAAUUUAUUCAUAUAAUUAUUGUUUCAAUACUUAUUGAUGUGCCAUUCAUGGGCACUUUUCUCUGACUAGUUGCAGAAAUUGAGCCCCUGCCUCUGGUUUUGCUCAGGCACAGGCCUUGCAUUUGCAUAAAUUUGAGAACUAAACCAGUGAAUUGAAGCUCUCUCAUUGUCUCUCUCUCUCUCUCUCUC